rnacentral:misc_RNA from 1 species
CGGGGGCGGAUAUGAUACAAUUGUCUCGUUAUGAAACAGGGCAAACGCGCACUCUGGUAUGCGGAUAUGCGGGUCCUGUGCGACAGGGCGCCGUGAACCAUGUCAGGCGGGGAACCGAGCAGCAUUAAGCGGGUCGUCUUGUGUGCCGCAGAUCAACCUGUGUGUCCGCAUACCACAGUGUACGGGCCCUG